GUGCUCAUCUGAGUGUACAUACACUACAACUGGAACACACAGAGAAGAUCAGCACGGCCCAUGUGCAAAGAUAACAUGCAAACUCCUAGAGUGUUCCAUGUUUUU